rnacentral:misc_RNA from 1 species
GAUGAAGAACGUAGCGAAAUGCGAUACUUGGUGUGAAUUGCAGAAUCCCGUGAACCAUCGAGUCUUUGAACGCAAGUUGCGCCCGAAGCCGUCAGGCCGAGGGCACGCCUGCCUGGGCGUCACACGCCGUUGCCCCCCCCCGCGCCCCGCACCCAACUCUUUGGGAGCGACCGCGGGGCGGGCUGAUGAUGGCCUCCCGUGCGCUCCGCCGCGCGGUUGGCCCAAAUACCGAGUCCCCGGCGACGUGCGCCACGACGAUCGGUGGUUGAGAGACCUCUGUCGCAAGUCGUGCGCGCCCGUCGCGUCACGCGGGCUCGCAUAGCGCCUCGCGCCGCACCCGGUGCGGAGCUUUCAACGCGACCCCAGGUCAGGCGGGGUUACCCGCUGAAUUUAAGCAUAUCAAUAAGCGGAGGA